AACGCGUGAGCAAUCUACCUUAGUUACUGGGAUAGCCCGAGGAAACUCGGAUUAAUACCGGAUAUUCUUAUUUUUUCACAUGAAUUUUUAAGGAAAGGUCAGCCGAACUAAGAUGAGCUCGCGUUCUAUCAGCUAGUUGGUGGGGUAAAAGCCUACCAAGGCUACGACGGAUAGCUGGUCUGAGAGGACGAUCAGCCACACUGGGACUGAGACACGGCCCAGACUCCUACGGGAGGCUGCAGCAGGGAAUAUUGUGCAAUGAGCGAAAGCUUGACACAGCGACACCGCGUGUGGGAUGACGGUUCUAGGAUUGUAAACCACUUUCAGGAGGGAAGAAAAUGACGGUACCUCCACAAGAAGACCCGGCUAACUAUGUGCCAGCAGCCGCGGUAAUACAUGGGGGUCAAGCGUUGUCCGGACUUAUUGGGCGUAAAGAGCUCGUAGGCGGUUCAACAAGUCGGUCGUAAAAGUUUAGGGCUCAACCCUAAAAUGUCGAUCGAUACUGUUGUGACUAGGAUACGGUAGAGGUGAAUGGAAUUCCGAGUGUAGCGGUGAAAUGUGUAGAUUUUCGGAGGAACACCAAUUGCGAAGGCAGUUCACUGGACCGUGAUCGACGCUGAGGAGCGAAAGCUAGGGGAGCAAACAGGAUUAGAUACCCUGGUAGUCCUAGCUGUAAACGAUGGAUACUAGAUGUAGGAACUGGAUUGACGGUUUCUGUAUCGUAGCUAACGCGUUAAGUAUCCCGCCUGGGGAGUACGGUCGCAAGACUAAAACUCAGAGGAAUUGACGGGACCCCGCACAAGCGGCGGAGCAUGCGG
rnacentral:rRNA from 1 species